rnacentral:misc_RNA from 1 species
GCGCUCACAUAUACCACUUCACUUCGAUAAGAAGCGGGAAAAACAAGAGGAGUUGACAUGGGUGCACCCGUGCCCCUUUCUGCUCUCGUCGCAUCCGCCCGUCACCUUACUUCAAGACCCUUUUGUUUUCUUAUGUGUGGAGGCAUCAGGUCCAAGAAGGCGAGAAGACCUGAGAGAGGUGGCCGGUGACUGUGGAGCAAACUGCAUCAUUGACCAGUAUGUUUUUUUCUUUUCUUUUUCGCUGUUCGGCUCGCCAUCCCGCACACGCGCGCAGGAGUUGAACUCCGCGAGGGUGAAUGAGGUGUGCAACAGUGCGCACAAAGGUGUGAUCGGCUCUGACUGCGGCUGCGGUGUGCGGCAGCAGUGAGACGCGUGUGUGACACCCACGAAGGAGACAAAUGAAAGCAUACACACUGCGCAGGAGGGGAGCGAUAAGCCUCUCCCCAAGCCGAAGUAAAACCUCUGCGGUGGCGUGUUGUAGGGUUGCGGCAACUGCAGUUGCGGGGAGGACGCCUGCUCGCGUCCUCCGCCUGCUGCGCUCCGAGCACAUCCUUUUUUUUUAUUAUCAUUUUUGCUUUCGGUACGUCUCGCUCGCUCACUUUUUGUUUUCCUUCUGCCCUUUGACCGUUAACUGUUUCUUGUGUGACUCUUUCUGUCGAGGUUGCUCUUGGCCAAUCCUAUCUGUCGUUUACACACGCCUGGCACUGUCACUGCCUCGUCUCUCCUCCCGUCCCCUUCUCUCCUUUCGCCUUUCCAAAACCUCGUCGCCGCCGUCGCGUGCAUUAUCAAUGAUCUCACAUCUGUGUGCGCGCCUUGGUUCGAGACGCUCCAGAUGAUGAACAUGGCCAAAGUCACGCAGCCUGCCGAGGAGCGGUUAAAGACAGAAGUGAAGGAGAGCGAGGCGGAAAAAGUAAAAGGGGCAAAAAGAAACAGCGGCGUUGAUUUGGUUCCCAACGGCCUCACACGCUGUAGUCUUGCAUGGCGCUUUUUUCAACAUACUUGCUGGCAUCCUCCUACAACUCCAAGGGCACCCCGUCUUCUCCUCGUUUACUGUGUCAGGUCCCGCCCUACCGCUCUCUCGAAAUUUUCCUGUUGUUUGUCGGGUCCACCUCCCCCGCCCCUCUGCCAAGAGCAGCUUGGCACCGUCGAAGCGGUCCCCUGUGAUGGCGCUGAUGGAGCUGCUCAAGACAAGGGACACGGCGCGCAACUCUCUCUCUCUCUCCUCUGCUCUUCCUCCUCUCGACGCCUACCCCACCGCCUUUUUCUGUUCACUCGCGUGUCGCGUGCAGCGAUCGGGAAUGGCAUGAAUUACGCAAAAGAGGAGGGUAAGCUGAAGAAAACAUGCGCAAGACAGAAAGAGGGAAGGGCCGAAGGGCGAGGACUGGGCACGACUGCAGAUCGAUGGAAAGAGAAGAGCGCGUAAAGUAGACAGUCGCAUCAGCAUCGGGCGAAGGGAACGGAGAGGUGUGUGGAGGUCGCUAAAGGAAGAGAAAGAUAACAAAAAAAAAAACAGAAAUCGGUCAAAUUCAACGGAACAGAUAACAUUGUGCGUCUCCCUUUAUUCUUUUCUUCUUUCCAUGCUCCUAAUCCUGUUGUCGUUUUUGUUGCUCUCUUCUUCGUGAGCAUGUCUUGGACGAUGUUGUUGGCGCUCUCCAUUAAAAGGAAGAAAAAAGACAAGAAGAAAAGCACACCCACAACAAACGGAAACAAGGUGGCUCUGUACUGUCGUUUUGAAGCUUUUUUCUUAUUAUUGGAAUAUCCUCUCGCUCGCUCCUCCCACUUGUGAGUGAGUGUGUCUCUGUAUCUGUCUCUGCGUUCAGCAGAAGAUCUCUACUGGUCUUCUCUCACUUCUCAUCACCCUUACGAGGCCACCCAUUCCUCGCCUUUUUCUUGUUCUUCAUUCGCAUUGGCGUCGUCGAGAUACCCGACUAUGCGGUGCACAGCAUCUUCGUUCAUUGUCGUCAUCUCCUUUCGCGAUCCCUUCGUCCCCUCCCUUCACCCGCGUAUCCAGAACCCCACCUUUUCGUCUGUCCCAUCUUACCGCUCAUGCUCUUCGUGGUCGCCGCGCUGAAGGACAGGGUUGCAGCGUCUCUGGGUAUGUGCUCUCUCACUGCGUUUGCUUGAAUUGUCGCCUACCACGAGCAAUAAUGCACACGAAACGUCGGGGACUAAGGGGAAGGAGAGGACAUAGUGCGACAGCACAUUGCGCAAGUACUCGCACGCGCGCACGCACGCACGCAAGCGGGUGGGGGCAGAGAGGAAAAGAAAGAAAACAAGACAUCGAGGCACCGACACAAACACACGGCUAAGGAAAGGGUUGAUAGCAAAGACAUGAACAAGUUAGGAGCUUGAUUUGGGAUCACUAUGGCAAAGAAAAGCUGAAGCAGACACAAGAAAAAGUGGAUCGAGUAAAGGCAACGGCUGCAGAGGCGUAGAUGCAGCCCGCACGCUUCGGGGUCGUGCUGGGGUAAGCGCUCCUACACAGGAGGCAUCUAUUUCUUUCAGUAUCUUUCUCUGUGUGUCCCGUGCGAAACGUGCAAGGCGCGCUGCUCCCCAGGGCAUCACUGUAGGUGCGAUGCUGACAACGAUCUCGGAGAAGAGCAUUGGAUGAGAGAGUGCACAACGAACACAUGGCCCCCUGUGUGUAUGACCACUAUCAUCUCUUUUUUCUGCUCCGCAUCCGCAUCUCCUUCUUUGCCUCUCACACCAAUGCUUCUCGAUCCCUUGUCCUGUCGUUCCAUAUGUGCGUCAG